AAAACUCUGACACGAUGACUCAUAGACUCGGCUGCACUCCGAAUGAGUUGGAGUCUUACCGAUCCUUCGCUGAAUGCCAAUCUCGUCUACUAUGAAGACUCGUCAAACUAAUUGUCUAUACCUACAGGCAUGAAUGCAGCAUCCCCAACAAAAGGACGUCAGUACGAAUAAUGUACUAAGUAUGUAAGGCGGAACUGAAACAUAACAAUAAGUCAACAUUAAAUUAAAGACAUAUAAGAAUCAACCUGAAUCUUUGAAGUGACACCUUAUCUGCAUACUUAUCAUACUUACAUAUAUAGUGCUUCUUUUUAAGACUAUUAUCCCUAUCGCAUGAUGCAUGAAUGCCCAACUGAUCAGUGGUAACUGCCCGACCGGCCGUCGCACGGUGGUAAAUGUUUGACUGCCCAACCGGUGGUAAAUAAUGAUAUAUAACUGCCCGACCGGCUGUAGCCCGAUGGUAAAUGCAUAUCUGCCCAACCGGCCGUAGCACAGUGGUAAAUGAAUAUGCAUGACUGCCCAACCGACCGUAGCAUGGUGGUAAAUAUGUAACUGCCUAACCGGGCGUAGCUCGGUGGUACAAGACACAUAAGAUACAACAUAAUAGCAUCAGGGACAGAAGAGACCAAUAGUUAAGCUCCACAAGAACAAAACAACAACCAAACAUACAUAGAUAGUACAAGAAUCCAGCAUUUUGUGGUUUCAUAAAAUGAUAGAUUUAUUGUUCUUUAUCAUAUUGAAUCUUUUCAGUACAUGAAAAUCCCAAUUUUUGUAUAGAUCUGCACUAUCUUAGAGCUGGUAUAACUUUUACAGUUAUAAAAUUAUUACUUACCUUCUCAAGAAAAAUCCAGCAUUAUAUGGUAAGUCUCACAUUAAAUGCUUUAAUCAAUCAUUGCUCAAUCUUACAUGAAUAUAAGAAAUAUGCUACAAAUAUUAAUAAUAACCUUCAUAGCUACGCUCUGUUCCAACCAACAUAAAUAAGGAAAACCUGACAUACGUUCACUCAAGCCUAGCUUGUACUCCUAUUUAACAGUGUAUCAAGAAUCUUUUGUAUCGAGUUCACAACUAUGUCAUCGUUGGGCAAUUUAUAUUGGAUCUAAGUCAUGUUUCAUUUGUGUGCUAAGUAUGUUUCUCAAAUAUCUUCUGGUAAUAAGGCCAAAUGGUGCAAUGACACUAAGGAAUUUACUUAUAUAACAAAGAAACACACCAAAGAUUCCAUUCAUUUCAUGUGAUUCACUUUUACAUUUGAGUUGUACCCAAAAGGGCCUGCAUAACCUACAAUUACAAUUUGAUCUGUCUUACUCAUGGAAGAAUACUGAUACAAGACAAAUUGAAAAGAGUUUACUUAACAUAUGAACUAUCAAUCUCUCACUUUAAAGGAGUGGAAUGUCACCGGUAUAUAGAAACAGGAGGAAACUUGAACUUAUCCGAGAUGAAUGGUAUUACUACGUUAUAAACGUUAACAUCUUGUCAUAUACCUCAAUAAGGAAUAUACUUAUACAUGCUUGAAUAUUACUUUACCGGAAUAAAUAAUAUAGACAUCCUUAACUGCUAAGUGUAGAACCACUUGUGAAAUAACAUUACGUAUACAUAUCGUUACUUGGAUCAUGCCAAAAGAAAGAAGGAAUAGCCUUAACAUACCUGAGCCGGUUCUCCGGACAAUCCUCUAACACACGACAAUUGCGAAAAACACGUGACAGCAAGAUCGGAAUAGGGAAAAUCUGUAUGAUAUUCUUGAGAACGAUUGCACCGUACUUCUUUAAAAUUGCAACGACAGUGUUACAAGAACAGAAUAGGCUUCUCGUUGCUUGUCUUGGACGUUCUUUUGUGUAUCAUGUCCAUAUAUGUGAAGAGUUGCAAAAAGUAAUAUGAACAACCAAAAGAUAAUGCUAAACGUGAAAAUGGUUGAGUUGGAAAUGCUAUACUUAGUUGUCUAAAGUUCUUGUUCAUGUGGAUAGGAUUGCAGAGAAUAUUAAGGUUCUAC
rnacentral:lncRNA from 1 species